UUCAUAAAACCCGCCGGAAACCAGCCCGCGCACGACCUUUCUCAUCGGAACUGGUCAUUUCUGCUUCAUCAUUAACACACACACUGGCACAAGAUGAAAAAAUCAAACACAACCGCCUCCUUCAUCUUCAAAUCCCCCUCUCUCUCGUUUUUCUAGUCUCAAUCUCCAUCGCCUACGAGAUUCGCCUAAAGCUGGCGAAAAUUGACCCCCUUAACCUAUUAGUUACCGUUCAAUUCUCUGAGUUUCAGAACCACUUGUUACACAAAGCUUCAGUUCUCCGCAAUCGGAAUUCAAGGAGGCAAGCUGCUUGAUUUUGUUUUGAAUCCGAGGCAAUCCGGUUAGCGUUCGAUGAGAUCUCCGGCGAGAUUUUCCGGCUUAAACCUCGUUCGUGGUCUUGUUCGUUCCAUCGACUAGCAUUUUCAGAAAUGUAAGUCAAUUAAAUUUAAGGUUCACUUGGGUUAUUUCCCCCUUCUUGCUAUUUUAAUUUGAUUUCACGCUUUUGUGGUUUGUAAACCUAUUUUGACUGGAAUCUUGGAUUUAAUAUCUCAUCUCCUUGCUCAUGAUUUCUUAACAAUAUUUGGUUGUGGUUUUGCUAUUCCAUGUUAUGGUCGAUCUAUUUUUGCUUAUUUUGUACUAGGAUGAAAAUCUGGUUGAUUUGUGUUUUAAUACGGAAUUUAGCUCGAUUUAUGUCGACCUAAUUCCCUAGCAACAGUGUAGUUUGUUUUAAUUUCAUAUAUAAGGUUUUCAUAUGUGCUUGAUAUAGUUUCACUUAGUUUAAGUGAAGAUUUUCUUGAUUCAGUAUAUUGGCAUUCUUCUCUUGUGGAAGUCAUGGAUAAGUCUAGAGUCUCUCGUGGAAUUGAAAUUCUGUUAACCAACUUGACAAUUUGUAAAGAUAAGUUGCUCGCACUCAAGGCUUUGGAUGUUGUAAUUAAAGCUUAUUCUGAUUCUAAUUUGUUUGAUAAAGAUGUUGAAUUGUAUUACUUCAUGCUCAAAACUUACACGAUUUGGUUCACAUGGAGUUACUGUUAAUUCUUUACU
rnacentral:lncRNA from 1 species